UGCAUCACUGGCAGGAAUCAUCAAAUUGUCUGUGGUAUUGAGUUUCGCCCGGAGAGUGAAUUGAAGAGAGUGAUUUUAGGUGCGGACAACGAAGAUGGCAACAACAAGUAGCAAUUCAAACAUGAACUGUAGAGCGCCAGGCUAUAUGUAUUGGCUCAAAAAAUCCCUCGGUAAACUACCGUCGGCUGCCCGACGACCCACGACUUUUGAAGAAGUGGCUCCAUGUCCUGAAGAGGAAGGACAUGCCAGCUCGAGCUAGCAGGGUCUGCAGACAGCACUUUGCGGAGGCAGACUUUGCAAUGAAGGGCACUUUUGAUGCGGAAACUGGGAGUUUCCGAAUGGAAAGGAGUCAUAGGCCCAAGUUGAAGCCCUCUGCUUGCGUCAAUUUUACAUUUGGAGGGUUAUUGUGUAGGGGUUACCGACCGACCAUCAUCAACAUCGCUGAAUUCGGAGUCAAGCAAAAUCGACUGAACGGAAGAGGCGACGCGAGUCAAUGCAAUGGAGUCUGAGGAUGACAUCUUCAUCCCUAAAAAGGUUUUCAUCCUGGAUGAGACUGGAGGAGGCAGAGGAGGAAAGAAUGGUUAGUACAGCAUGCCAAACUGACCCCUGGGUGCCAGUCUGUUCCUGUGCUGCGGUGAAGAGUUCCACCGGGACCAUCACUAAAGAGCUCGGGGCCCAGCUAGAUUGAGCCCACGAACAUCAGUAUACAACCGAGUCCGUCCCCUAAACGCCACAGAUGGAGCUGACGGAGAGUGAGAUCAAUGAAGACCGGAACUCACUGUAUGAACCUGAGAGCUCAGAAUCACAAUCAUCACAGUACGAGCCAAGAUAUACUAUCAAUCACUUUGUGGGAGCGGGCUGGUGUUCCGAAAAUGGAGAAGGAACAAGCCAUGGACAGCAAAUUCAAAGAAAACACCCAUCCAUAAAGGGAAUCGUGUUUCCACAGAUUUUUUUACCAGUUUCAACAGAUGUGCUACCUUGUCCCGGUCCUGCUGUUUCGAUUCUCUCUCUCAACCUAUGAAUGCUCAGCUAUAAAAAGCCAACUGACAUUUGCUCCUGAGGUGUUGAACCCUCCAUAACCACUGUGGUUAUUAUUUUGAUGUAAAAACGGCUUUUGUGAAAUACAUUUGAUAGAUUGUUUGCUGUGCUGGAUGCUGUGUAUUCCCUAACUGUCCGAGUGAUGGGACAUUUAUGUCUAACAUAUUUUGGUGGGUAUUUAAUCUGCAUCUUAACUAUUUAAAGUGGCAAUCAGCUGUAGAAACAAUAACAAAGUGUGUCCCUGCUCCUCUUUCGAUAAAAAGCUGAGGGACGGGGCUGGAGAAAUCUAACCACUCUCAAAUUCAUAGACAGGCCUAUAGAUGCAAGGACUGACCAUCCAUGAUAUCAACAUUGUAAUCCUGUUUCUAUGAUCUGUUUCCACUACCAUGUACCCAGUUUGCUUUGGAUAAAGGCAUCUGCUAAAUGGCAUCUAUUAUUAAAGUCUACUUUGACUCUGCCCACUAGCUUCCCAGUGUUCAGUCGUGGCCAAAAGUUUUGAGAAUGACACAAAUAUUAAUUUCCACAAAGUUUGCUGCUUCAGUAUCUUUAGAUAUUUUUUUCAGAUGUUACUAUGGAAUACUGCAGCAUAAUUACAAGUAUUUCAUGAGUGUCAAAGGCUUUUAUUGACAAUUACAUGAAGUUGAUGCAAAGAGUCAAUAAUUGCAGUGUUUACCCUUAUUAUUCAGACCUCUGCAAUCCGCCCUGGCAUGCUGUCACUUAUCUUCUGGGCCACAUCCUGACUGAUGGUAGCCCAUUCUUGCAUAAUCAAUGCUUGGAGUUUAUCAGAAUUUGUGAGUUGUUUGUUUGUCCAUCCGCCUCUUGAGGAUUGACCACAAGUUCUCAAUUAGAUUAAGGUCUGGGGAGUGUCCUGGCCAUGGACCCAAAAUAUCAAUGUUUUGUUCCCCGAGCCACUUAGUUAUCACUUUUGCCAGCCUGAUAAACUGCCAGCCUGUAUGCUCUGCAAACAAAAUAAUCAGAAAAGUUAUUCUGAUACCGAAACUAAAUCACAAUGUAUUUAUAAUGAGCAAAAAUUCCCUGUCUUAGGUCAUUGAGGAUCACCACUUUAUUUUAAGAAUGUGAAAUGUCAGAAUAAUAGUA